AUUAAAAUAUAUAAAAUUAAACGGAUUAGGGUAUUUUUGGGUAAUAAUAAUAAGAUUUCGGUAGUUGAAAAUAAAUUUUAAUUAGAUUUUGAAUGGGUUCGGGUAUUAAGAAUUUUAAUAGGGUUUGGCAGGGUGAUUUUCGCUGGUUAUUCUAUCUGUUGCCGUCCCUAGGAUUAGUAACUUAUAAACUCCAGUUCCCCCUAAUGGUAGCAUUCCAUUGUUGCAUGCAUCCCUACUUAAGAAGAAAAUGGGUGAUCAACAGGUGUGCACACAACUACUUCAACUGGUUGGUGCUAAUGGGUAAUUCAUGGUGCAGCCUGUGGUUAUUGUUCAGGAACACAAUAUUUAUCUUGUUGGAUUAGAGGUAGCAAUAAUAAAAAGGAUUUGAACUGGCAAUGUUUGUAGGAGAUGUUUCUGUCAAACAUUUUUUUUUUUGGGACCAAUCUUUAUCCUCAUGAGAAUGCUCGAAAGGUCUUUACUGCCUUCAGACUCAUAUUCCUUGCGUCUUCCUAGAGGACCGGGAAUAACUUAUAGGGGGCAAGAUAUUAUAUUAUUAAUGUCAAUUAACUUUUUUUUUUUAAUUAUAAAUUCUUGUAAAUAUUAGUAAGUAUUAAUUGUUGGUUUGUUCUACAAGAAGUAACGUUAUUGCUG
rnacentral:misc_RNA from 1 species